GACGAACGCUGGCGGCGUGCUUAACACAUGCAAGUCGAACGAAGAGCGAUGGAAGCUUGCUUCUAUCAAUCUUAGUGGCGAACGGGUGAGUAACGCGUAAUCAACCUGCCCUUCAGAGGGGGACAACAGUUGGAAACGACUGCUAAUACCGCAUACGAUCUAAUCUCGGCAUCGAGGAUAGAUGAAAGGUGGCCUCUACAUGUAAGCUAUCACUGAAGGAGGGGAUUGCGUCUGAUUAGCUAGAUGGAGGGGUAACGGCCCACCAAGGCGAUGAUCAGUAGCCCGUCGGAGAGGAUGAGCGGCCACCUUGGGACGGAGACACGGCCCAGACUCCUACGGGAGGCAGCAGUGGGGAUUCUUCCGCAAUGGACGAAAGACUGACGGAGCAACGCCGCGGGAGUGAUGACGGCCGUCGGGUUGUAAAGCUCGGUUAAUCGGGACGAAAGGCCUUCUUGCGAAUAGUGAGAAGGAUUGACGGUACCGGAAUAGAAAGCCACGGCUAACUACGUG
rnacentral:rRNA from 1 species